GGGGGCCCGCACAAGCGGUGGAGCAUGUGGUUUAAUUCGAUGCAACGCGAAGAACCUUACCUACUCUUGACAUCCAGAGAACUUAGCAGAGAUGCUUUGGUGCCUUCGGGAACUCUGAGACAGGUGCUGCAUGGCUGUCGUCAGCUCGUGUUGUGAAAUGUUGGGUUAAGUCCCGCAACGAGCGCAACCCUUAUCCUUUGUUGCCAGCGGUCCGGCCGGAACUCAAGGAGACUGCCAGUGAUAAACUGGAGGAAGGUGGGGAUGACGUCAAGUCAUCAUGGCCCUUACGAGUAGGGCUACACACGUGCUACAAUGGCGCAUACAAAGAGAAGCGACCUCGCGAGAGCAAGCGGACCUCAUAAAGUGCGUCGUAGUCCGGAUUGGAGUCUGCAACUCGACUCCAUGAAGUCGGAAUCGCUAGUAAUCGUAGAUCAGAAUGCUACGGUGAAUACGUUCCCGGCC
rnacentral:rRNA from 1 species